AGUUGGAUUUCGGUUAAGAGCGACCGGUCCGCCGUUUGGUGUGCACUGGUUGGUUUUAACUUCCUGUAGAGGACGUGCUCUGGGCUUAACGGUCUGGACUCGGAGUCUACGUGGUUACUUUGAAAAAAUUAGAGUGUUCAAAGCGGGCUUACGCUUGAAUAUUUCAGCAUGGAAUAACACUAUAGGACUCCUGUCCUAUUUCGUUGGUCUCGGGACGGGAGUAAUGAUUAAGAGGAACAGUUGGGGGCAUUCGUAUUUCAUUGUCAGAGGUGAAAUUCUUGGAUUUAUGAAAGACGAACUUCUGCGAAAGCAUUUGCCAAGGAUGUUUUCAUUAAUCAAGAACGAAAGUUGGGGGCUCGAAGAUGAUUAGAUACCAUCCUAGUCUCAACCAUAAACGAUGCCGACUAGGGAUUGGCGGAUGUUAAUUGAUGACUCCGCCAGCACCUUAUGAGAAAUCAAAGUUUUUUGGGUUCCCGGGGGAGUAUGGUCGCAAGGCUGAAACUUAAAGGAAUUGACGG
rnacentral:rRNA from 1 species